rnacentral:rRNA from 1 species
AUGAACGCUAGCUACAGGCUUAACACAUGCAAGUCGAGGGGCAGCAUGGUCUUAGCUUGCUAAGGCCGAUGGCGACCGGCGCACGGGUGAGUAACACGUAUCCAACCUGCCGUCUACUCUUGGACAGCCUUCUGAAAGGAAGAUUAAUACAAGAUGGCAUCAUGAGUCCGCAUGUUCACAUGAUUAAAGGUAUUCCGGUAGACGAUGGGGAUGCGUUCCAUUAGAUAGUAGGCGGGGUAACGGCCCACCUAGUCUUCGAUGGAUAGGGGUUCUGAGAGGAAGGUCCCCCACAUUGGAACUGAGACACGGUCCAAACUCCUACGGGAGGCAGCAGUGAGGAAUAUUGGUCAAUGGGCGAGAGUCUGAACCAGCCAAGUAGCGUGAAGGAUGACUGCCCUAUGGGUUGUAAACUUCUUUUAUAAAGGAAUAAAGUCGGGUAUGCAUACCCGUUUGCAUGUACUUUAUGAAUAAGGAUCGGCUAACUCCGUGCCAGCAGCCGCGGUAAUACGGAGGAUCCGAGCGUUAUCCGGAUUUAUUGGGUUUAAAGGGAGCGUAGAUGGAUGUUUAAGUCAGUUGUGAAAGUUUGCGGCUCAACCGUAAAAUUGCAGUUGAUACUGGAUAUCUUGAGUGCAGUUGAGGCAGGCGGAAUUCGUGGUGUAGCGGUGAAAUGCUUAGAUAUCACGAAGAACUCCGAUUGCGAAGGCAGCCUGCUAAGCUGCAACUGACAUUGAGGCUCGAAAGUGUGGGUAUCAAACAGGAUUAGAUACCCUGGUAGUCCACACGGUAAACGAUGAAUACUCGCUGUUUGCGAUAUACAGCAAGCGGCCAAGCGAAAGCGUUAAGUAUUCCACCUGGGGAGUACGCCGGCAACGGUGAAACUCAAAGGAAUUGACGGGGGCCCGCACAAGCGGAGGAACAUGUGGUUUAAUUCGAUGAUACGCGAGGAACCUUACCCGGGCUUAAAUUGCAGAUGAAUUACGGUGAAAGCCGUAAGCCGCAAGGCAUCUGUGAAGGUGCUGCAUGGUUGUCGUCAGCUCGUGCCGUGAGGUGUCGGCUUAAGUGCCAUAACGAGCGCAACCCUUGUUGUCAGUUACUAACAGGUUCUGCUGAGGACUCUGACAAGACUGCCAUCGUAAGAUGUGAGGAAGGUGGGGAUGACGUCAAAUCAGCACGGCCCUUACGUCCGGGGCUACACACGUGUUACAAUGGGGGGUACAGAGGGCCGCUACCACGCGAGUGGAUGCCAAUCCCAAAAACCUCCCUCAGUUCGGACUGGAGUCUGCAACCCGACUCCACGAAGCUGGAUUCGCUAGUAAUCGCGCAUCAGCCACGGCGCGGUGAAUACGUUCCCGGGCCUUGUACACACCGCCCGUCAAGCCAUGGGAGCCGGGGGUACCUGAAGUGCGUAACCGCGAGGAGCGCCCUAGGGUAAAACUGGUGACUGGGGCU